UACAGGGGGUGCAAACGUUGCUCGGAAUUAUUGGGCGUAAAGCGCGCGUAGGCGGCUACUUAAGUCGGAUGUGAAAGCCCUUGGCUCAACUGAGGAAGUGCACCCGAAACUGAGUGGCUAGAGUACGAAAGAGGGUCGCGGAAUUCCCGGUGUAGAGGUGAAAUUCGUAGAUAUUCGCAAGAACACCAGUGGCGAAGGCGGCUCACUGGCCCGAUACUGACGCUGAGGCACGAAAGCGUGGGGAGCAAACAGG
rnacentral:rRNA from 1 species